rnacentral:rRNA from 1 species
UAGCGAAGGGGGCUAGCGUUGCUCGGAAUCACUGGGCGUAAAGGGUGCGUAGGCGGGUCUUUAAGUCAGGGGUGAAAUCCUGGAGCUCAACUCCAGAACUGCCUUUGAUACUGAAGAUCUUGAGUUCGGGAGAGGUGAAUGGAACUGCGAGUGUAGAGGUGAAAUUCGUAGAUAUUCGCAAGAACACCAGUGGCGAAGGCGGCUCACUGGCCCGAUACUGACGCUGAGGCACGAAAGCGUGGGGAGCAAACAGG